UUCUUGCAAAUAGAGGAUGAUGAUGGCUGCGAUUUUUCGUCAACAGACGUGUUGGGUAAGGAUAUACUCUGAACCAUGAACCAGAGGUGUUUGCCAAGCCCAAUGUCCAAUGCAUGCUGGCCCAGAGUGUCUAGAGUUGAGAGCGAGACGACGGCCGACGCGACGGGUCACGGGUGCAGUGCGCCCAUUCCACAAUCGUUCAUUCAGGCGCACCUAAUUGUUUCCUGAA
rnacentral:lncRNA from 1 species